UCCUACGGGAGGCAGCAGUGGGGAAUACUGGACAAUGGGGGCAACCCUGAUCCAGCCAUGCCGCGUGUGUGAAGAAGGCCCUCGGGUUGUAAAGCACUUUCAGCGAGGAAGAACGCCUAGCGGUUAAUACCCGCUAGGAAAGACAUCACUCGCAGAAGAAGCACCGGCUAACUCCGUGCCAGCAGCCGCGGUAAUACGGAGGGUGCAAGCGUUAAUCGGAAUUACUGGGCGUAAAGCGCGCGUAGGUGGCUUGAUAAGCCGGUUGUGAAAGCCCCGGGCUCAACCUGGGAACGGCAUCCGGAACUGUCAAGCUAGAGUGCAGGAGAGGAGGGUAGAAUUCCCGGUGUAGCGGUGAAAUGCGUAGAGAUCGGGAGGAAUACCAGUGGCGAAGGCGGCCUUCUGGACUGACACUGACACUGAGGUGCGAAAGCGUGGGUAGCAAACAGGAUUAGAUACCCUGGUAGUCCACGCCGUAAACGAUGUCGACCAGCCGUUGGGUGCCUAGCGCACUUUGUAGCGAAGUUAACGCGAUAAGUCGACCGCCUGGGGAGUACGGCCGCAAGGUUAAAACUCAAAUGAAUUGACGG
rnacentral:rRNA from 1 species